GCAAGUCAAUAAGAUUAUUCCACAUCAUUAUUGUAUAUGGUUAACAUCUUCACUUGAUUUGCAG
rnacentral:ncRNA from 2 species